AAAGUUGUCUAGACAAUUGCUGAAAUAGAUAUUCCUUUCGAUUUAAUACUAAUUUUUGUUUAUUCAUAAUCUAUCAAUUUCAGAGGAAAGUCCGGACUUCAUAGAGCAGGGUGGUGGGUAAUACCCACUUAGAGAGAUCUAGGGAAAGUGCCGCAGAGACCAUGUAGCCUGUUUAUAAAAAUUAAAUAGGUCAUAGUGAAAAGGUGUGAGGUAAGAGCUCACUGCUUAAUUUGGUGACAAGUUAUGAAUGGUAAACCCCAUCUGAAGCAAGCUCAAAUAAAGGCUAAUAUGAAGUUGCUCGCUUUUAGCCUGGGUAGAGUGCAAAAGAUUUAUAGUAAUAUAAAUUGUAGAUAGAUGAUUGUCGCUUUUUUUGAAAGAAUUUAGAAAUUUUUAAAAAAGUACAGAAUCCGGCUUAUAGACAACUUUUUAU
rnacentral:RNase_P_RNA from 1 species